GCUGGACUGUCCCUCUUGGCGGAGUCCUUUAUGCUCUCAAUACCUCCAGAUGCCCAUGACAAGGGGCAAUAACGUCUCCGAAGUACUGAGCCCUCAGGAGGCGGAGCACCAUUGGGUUCAGGGCGUCGGAGGGCCUCAGCACCGCCCCCCUCAUGCCCAGGCCUGCAGAAUGAGGACCCCUGCCAUCCAGCUGUGACCCGCCUCUCCCUCUCCCCGCUUAACACAACUGAAAAGGACCCCAAGUGCGGGAUGCUGGCUGCAAGGCUGGGACCAAACUGGACAGUGGGUUUGGCCCAGGCCUGUCAGAGCAGGGCAAGAGCCAGGGACAGGAAUCGUCGCAGAAGGGACAGCAGUAGGGGGGCCGGGCCACUGCAACCUGCGGCGCACCCGAGAGUUGUCAACGGAUCACAGUUUUCACUCUACCUCCAGUGAUUGCUCUUCUCCUUCCAGACUUCACUCAGCCUUGAAAGACCAGCCCUCAGAUGACUUGUUAUUUAUAAAGGAGGAAAUGAAGCUUUAUGAUGGAGUUAUCUAGAGGGCAUCUCUUUAGCCAAGGGGUUAACAUGCCCAACCAUGGAACAAGAUGACAUCAUGUGACUGACUUGUGAUGUGAUGUGCUAGGAUGGACACCACCGCAUAUCCGUGGUAUUCCUGGCCAAAAUGAGGAAGCUGAAUCUCGUGCAGAAAAAAGUCACAAAAGUACAAUCAAGGGACAUCUGGUUUAUCAUCUGCCUUUGGCUCAAUGUGUGAUCCCAGGGACCUGGGAUAAAGUUCUGCAUUGGGCUCCCUUGCAUGGAGCCUGCUUCUCCCUCUGCCUGUGUCUCUGCUUCUCUCUCUCUCUCUCUCUCUUUCUGUGUGUCUCUCAUGAAUAAAUAAAUAAAUUCUUUUUAAAAAAAAAAGUACAAUCAAGGUGCAUUGUGCGAAAUAAUUGAUUUGGACAGUUCAUAAAUGACUUCAUGGAGGGCAAAACAUGGCAGGAGAGAUGCCUGGGUGGCUCAGCGGUUUAGCACCUGCCUUCGGCCCAGAGUGUGAUCUUGAAGACACAGGAUCAAGUCCUGCAUCGGGCUCCCUGCAGGGAGCCUGCUUCUCCCUCUGCCUGUGUCUCUGCCUCUCUCGCUCUGUGUCUCUCAUGAAUAAAUAAAUAAAAUCUUAAAAAAAAAAAGUGGCAGGAGAGCUAUUCUAGGGGGAAAAAAAGAUUAAACAGAUGUGAAAAAUCAAAUGCGCAGUGUGAUCCUAGAAUGGAUCCUAGGUUGAAAAAGGAGCUGUAAGGAUGCUUUUGGGAAGAUCUGGGAAAACUUGAAUAUGGAUUGUGUAUUUAAUAUUAUUAAAUUGGUAUUAACUUUCUAAGGCGUACUAAUGGUGUUGUGGCUGUGUAGAAUACAUACUCUUAGGAGACAUAGAGCUAAAUAGCUCAGGGCUAACUAUCACAAUGUCUGCAACUUUCAAUCAGUUUCAGUAAAAAAUAAGCAAAUAUGACGAGAUAACAAUCAGUGAUUCUGGGCAAAUGGUAUAUGGAUGAUGGUUGUUCUCUUCUUUUAAAUUCUCAUAAGUUUGAAGUUUCAAGAUAAAAGGUCGGAGAAAAUGAUUUGGAUAUUCGUCCUAAAACUGGAAUGACAAACUGUCAUCCUCUAUCAUGGUCUGGAUUUUCUGAGCUUGUUUUACGUAAAACAAACAAACAAACAAACAACCACUCAAAAACAACAAAAUCAGAAACAACCCCACAGAGGUUUUCUCAUAGUACAUGACAGAGAGUUUUUGGACACAAGCAUCUUGGGAGGCUGGCGUAGGAAGAGCCUGGGAAACCUGCCCCAUCCUUCCCCAGGGGCA
rnacentral:lncRNA from 1 species